GUUUGAUCAUGGCUCAGGACGAACGCUGGCGGCGUGCCUAAUACAUGCAAGUCGAACGCGUCUACGUUAAUGAAAUCAAUGUGCUUGCACGGCGAUGGAUUUAACAUUAGACGAGUGGCGAACUGGUGAGUAACACGUGGGUAACCUGCCCUCAAGCAGGGGAUAACACUUGGAAACAGGUGCUAAUACCGUAUAACAACAAAAACCGCAUGGUUUUUGUUUGAAAGAUGGUUUCGGCUAUCACUUGAGGAUGGACCCGCGGCGUAUUAGGCACGCCGCCAGCGUUCAUC
rnacentral:rRNA from 1 species